AUACGGAGGAUCCGAGCGUUAUCCGGAUUUAUUGGGUUUAAAGGGAGCGUAGGCGGACGCUUAAGUCAGUUGUGAAAGUUUGCGGCUCAACCGUAAAAUUGCAGUUGAUACUGGGUGUCUUGAGUACAGUAGAGGCAGGCGGAAUUCGUGGUGUAGCGGUGAAAUGCUUAGAUAUCACGAAGAACUCCGAUUGCGAAGGCAGCCUGCUGGACUGUAACUGACGCUGAUGCUCGAAAGUGUGGGUAUCAAACAGGAUUAGAUACCCUGGUAGUCCACACAGUAAACGAUGAAUACUCGCUGUUUGCGAUAUACAGUAAGCGGCCAAGCGAAAGCGUUAAGUAUUCCACCUGGGGAGUACGCCGGCAACGGUGAAACUCAAAGGAAUUGACGGG
rnacentral:rRNA from 1 species